GACGAACGCUGGCGGCGUGCCUAACACAUGCAAGUCGAGCGGAGAUUGUAGCAAUACAAUCUUAGCGGCGGACGGGUGAGUAACGCGUGGGCAACUUGCCUCAUACAGGGGGGAUAACACAGGGAAACUUGUGCUAAUACCGCAUAACGUUAUUGAGUGGCAUCAUUCGAUAACCAAAGGAGUAAUCCAGUAUGAGAUGGGCCCGCGUCCGAUUAGCUAGUUGGUGGGGUAAUGGCCUACCAAGGCGACGAUCGGUAGCCGAACUGAGAGGUUGAUCGGCCACAUUGGGACUGAGACACGGCCCAGACUCCUACGGGAGGCAG
rnacentral:rRNA from 1 species